UGCUGCCGAUGAUGUUGACUAUAUACACUUAACCUACAUUGUUUGAUGUUCGGUGAGAAGAAUAACCAAUUCUGAGGCACCA